GACGAACGCUGGCGGCGUGCUUAACACAUGCAAGUCGAACGGAAAGGCCCUGCUUUUGUGGGGUGCUCGAGUGGCGAACGGGUGAGUAACAAGUGAGUAACCUGCCCUUGACUUUGGGAUAACUUCAGGAAACUGGGGCUAAUACCGGAUAGGAGCUCCUGCUGCAUGGUGGGGGUUGGAAAGUUUCGGCGGUUGGGGAUGGACUCGCGGCUUAUCAGCUUGUUGGUGGGGUAGUGGCUUACCAAGGCUUUGACGGGUAGCCGGCCUGAGAGGGUGACCGGCCACAUUGGGACUGAGAUACGGCCCAGACUCCUACGGGAGGCAGCAGUGGGGAAUAGUGCACAAUGGGCGGAAGCCUGAUGCAGCAACGCCGCGUGCGGGAUGACGGCCUUCGGGUUGUAAACCGCUUUCGCCUGUGACGAAGCGUGAGUGACGGUAAUGGGUAAAGAAGCACCGGCUAACUACGUG
rnacentral:rRNA from 1 species